rnacentral:rRNA from 1 species
GGUUUAAUUCGAUGCUACACGAAGAACCUUACCAGGGUUUGACAUGCAAGUCGGUAGGAAGUCUGAAAGGACGACCUUCGGGAGCGUUGCACAGGUGCUGCAUGGCUGUCGUCAGCUCGUGUCGUGAGAUGUUCGGUUAAGUCCGCUAACGAGCGCAACCCUCACUGUGUGUUAUAUGUGUCACACGGGACUGCCGGUUUUAAGCCGGAGGAAGGUGGGGAUGACGUCAAGUCAGCAUGGCCUUUAUAUCCUGGGCUACACACACGCUACAAUGGUCGGUACAAUAGGUUGCCAAGCCGCGAGGCGGAGCCAAUCCACAAAGCCGGCCUCAGUUCAGAUUGUAGGCUGCAACUCGCCUGCAUGAAGAUGGAGUUGCUAGUAACCGCAGGUCAGCAAUACUGCGGUGAAUACGUUCCCGGGUCUU